rnacentral:snRNA from 1 species
GAAGGUACCUGGCAGGGGAGAUACCCAGGGCGAGGCUCGUCCGUUGCGCUUGGGAUGUGCUGACCCCUGCGAUGUCUCCAAACGUAGGACAACUGCAUGACUUGUGGCAGUGGGGGCUACGUUCACACUCCUC